GCAGCAACAGCAAUUCCAAAAAUUUAUAUUCAACUUAACCUCGCCUUAUUUUAUUUUUACUAAAUUUGUUAAAGUACCACGCAGAGUGGUACAAGACUCUACAUUUUGUUUCCAAUCGGAGGUUUUCACCGACAAAAAAAUUUUUACAAAAAAAAAUUUUGACAAUACUACUUAAUUCGUCAUAUUGUGUUUACAAAGAUCGUGAAGCAGAAAUGGAAUCUACGUCUAGUAAAGAUGAACAGAAUAAUCAGGAAGAUUCAGAUUCUUCAGAAAUAGAUGAGACAGAACCUAGAUUAAAAUAUGUUAGGAUACGUAAUGAUUUGGAACAUAUCCUGCAAAAUGAUGCAGCUAGCUGCAUUGCUGUACAUCCAAAAUUUCUUUGUCUGGGAUCACAUUGGGGAAUGAUCCAUCUUUUAGACCAUCAAGGAAAUAAUAUAAAAUCUAAAAUGCUACAGGCACACACAGUAGCAGUCAAUCAGAUAUCCAUAGACUAUAAUGGAGAUUUUAUCGCCUCUUGCAGUGAUGAUGGAAAGGUUUUUAUUUAUGGACUGUAUAGUACAGAAAACAAUCAUAAUAUGAGCAUGGGUAGACUAGUCAAGAGUAUAGCAAUUGACCCAAAUUAUAAAAGUGGUAGUGGCAGAAGAUUUAUUACAGGCGAUGACAAGUUAAUUCUUUAUGAAAAGACUUUUCUGGCUAGGAUGAAGCCAACAGUGCUUUGUGAAGCAGAGGGUGGAGUCAGAUCUGUUGCAUGGUUCGGUCACUUUGUUGCAUGGGCUUCUGAUACUGGCGUGAGAGUCUAUGAUCUUGAUGCUAGAUGUUCAUUGGGACUUAUCAAGUGGUCCUGUACUGCAGAGGUAUCACCAGAACACUAUAGGUGCAAUUUACAGUGGUCAGACGACAAGACACUAUUGAUUGGGUGGGUAGACAUUGUGCGUAUCUGUCAUAUUAGAAAACGUACUAUGCAAGAAAUGGUCAAUCGAGAUUUGCCUGAAUUUGUAGUAGAUCCAGUAUCAACAUUUCAAGUAGAUUUUUAUAUAUCCGGUAUAGCACCAUUGAAGAAUCAGUUAAUAUUAUUGGGUUGCCUAAAGGAGCUAGAUGAAAAUGGAAAGAAUCAACGCCCAACUUUACAUGUGGUUGAACCAAAAUAUCAAGAUUUCUCAGUAAUAUGUGCAAAUUCUCUUACCUUACGUGGCUACAAGGAAUACAGCUGCAAUGAUUAUCAUUUGGACUGUUUAAAAGAAGAAAAUAGAUUUUUUAUUGUUAGUCCAAAGGAUAUUGUAGUGGCUAGAUUAUAUGAUACAGACGACAGAAUCGAAUGGCUAUUGAGUCAUGGAAAGUUUGAGCAAGCUUUGGAAGCUGUAACAACAAAUAAUGGCAAAGAUUGUAAGAGGCAUACUGUAUUAGAUGUUGGGCGUAUUUAUUUGGAUCACUUAUUAGCAUGUGGAAGAUACGAUGAAGCUGGAAAACUUUGUCUCAAAGUUUUAGGACGAAAUAAAAAAUUAUGGGAGGAAGAGGUUUACAAAUUUGCUAGAGUGCAUCAGUUGCGUUCAAUUUCGUCCUACUUGCCUCGGGGUGACGUUAUUCUCGAUCCAUUAAUCUAUGAAAUGGUGCUAUAUGAAUAUCUAAAAAUGGAUCCUGACGGUUUUUUACAAUUGGUCAAGGAAUGGUCUCCAAAUUUAUAUACAGUGGCAGCAGUAGUUAACGGCGUAUUGGAACAUUUACUAGUUCACAAUCAACGACAGAACGUAUUAUUAGAAGCGUUAGCCAUUUUAUAUAUUCACGACGGCAAAUACGAUAAAGCGCUUGCUAUGUAUUUGAAGCUGCGGCACAAGGAUGUUUUCCAAUUGAUCCAAAAGUAUCAGUUAUAUAAUUCAGUAUACGAUAUGAUUGAAGGUUUGAUGGAUCUGGACACAGAACGUGCCAUACAAUUUUUUUUAGAGAAAGACAGAGUGCCGUCUGACACGGUUGUACAAAAAUUGCAACAUAAUCAUCGUUAUUUAUAUUUGUAUCUAGAUGCAUUAGAUAAGAGAGACACGAAGGAUUCAAAAGGCAAGUACCAUGGUCUUCUGGUACGAUUGUAUGCCGAUUAUUCGAGAGACAAGUUAUUACCGCUUUUACGUCGCUCUGAUAAUUAUCCGAUACAACAGGCUCUGGAUAUUUGUAGCCAACGUCGAUUUUAUCCAGAAAUGGUGUAUCUAUUAGGCAGAAUUGGAAACACUUCAGAAGCCUUGGCGCUCAUGACAAGAGAACUCAACGACAUGGAAAGUGCAAUUGUAUUUUGUCAGGAACAUGACGAUGAAGAGUUGUGGAAUGAUCUAAUUAAUUACUCACUUGACAAACCUGCGGCUAUUACAUUCCUUCUUCAAAAAAUCGGCACUUACGUUGAUCCUAGGCUUAUGGUGCAAAGAAUAGAACCUACUUUGGAAAUUCCAGGCUUAAAGAAAGCAUUGGUUAAAAUGAUAUGCGACUACAAUCUGCAGGUGUCUGUGCAGGAAGAUGAUCAAAUGUGUGGAGCUUGCCAUAGGAAAAUAAUUAGCCGCGGAAUAUAGUUGUAUUUUAUUGUAAGCAUUGUUUUCACGAAGAUUGUCUACCUAAUUUUGAUUUAAUUGAAAAUUGUGUGAUAUGCAAUUCG
rnacentral:misc_RNA from 1 species